rnacentral:rRNA from 1 species
GAGUUUUUCUUUUCUCUCCGGAGAUUAGAACUCUUAGAUUGCUUCCUUCAGUGCCUUAUGAGAAAUCAAAGUCUUUGGGUUCUGGGGCGAGUAUUCGCGCAAGCGAGAAAGUUAAAAGAAUUGACGGAAGGGCACCACCAGGCGUGGAGCUUGCGGCUUAAUUUGACUCAACACGGGAAAACUCACUAGUUUAAGACAAGAGUAGGAUUGACAGAUUAAUAGCUCUUUCUUGAUUUCUUGGAUGGUGAUGCAUGGCCGUUUUUAGUUCGUGAAUAUGAUUUGUCUGGUUAAUUCCGAUAACGAACGAGAUCUUAACCUGCUAAUUAGCGGCAAAUACGAUAUAUUCUUAUGUAGAAUUGAAUAUAGUGGAUUUGUUGGAUUUUGAAGAAAAUAUUGGAAUUACGUUAAAUGUGAUUCCUUUCCC